UGCUCUGCUGGUGUUUUGUGAGUGAGCCCAGGAUGGGCACAUUUGUCUGGUUUUAUUAGGCACAGCUUUUAACUGCAAAGUUGUGUGAACUUGCUGCUGGACAGAACCUGAAGCUCUUUGACAUUGUGCAAGUGUCUUCUCCUACAGAGGGACUUAGGCUGAGAUGACUCGAAGGAAAUAGUACCAUCUGGAUGGAUGUGAGGAGUUACUUGCAAUACUGAGAUACCAUUCUAGAGUUCAAUCUGGAUACUGUAAGCCAUAACAUUUUUGCAGUGUAGAGGCAAUUACAGCAACUGGCCUCUCAUGAGAGAAGAAUUUACAACCUAUUAGUGUUUUCUUAAUUGCUGAUACAAGUUCCCCUGUCUCUCUUCAUUCUUCUGUCUGUGUGCUUGUACUUAUUUGAAAUCCACAUUUUUUGCCCCAGGUUGUUGA